AGUGAACGCUGGCGGUAGGCCUAACACAUGCAAGUCGAACGGCAGCACAGUAAGAGCUUGCUCUUACGGGUGGCGAGUGGCGGACGGGUGAGGAAUACAUCGGAAUCUACUUUUUCGUGGGGGAUAACGUAGGGAAACUUACGCUAAUACCGCAUACGACCUACGGGUGAAAGCAGGGGAUCUUCGGACCUUGCGCGAUUGAAUGAGCCGAUGUCGGAUUAGCUAGUUGGCGGGGUAAAGGCCCACCAAGGCGACGAUCCGUAGCUGGUCUGAGAGGAUGAUCAGCCACACUGGAACUGAGACACGGUCCAGACUCCUACGGGAGGCAGCAGUGGGGAAUAUUGGACAAUGGGCGCAAGCCUGAUCAAGCCAUACCGCGGGGGUGAAGAAGGCCUUCGGGUUGUAAAGCCCUUUUGUGGGGAAAGAAAGGCAGCAGGUUAAUACCCCGCUGUUCUGACGGUACCAAAAGAAUAAGCACCGGCUAACUCGUG
rnacentral:rRNA from 1 species